AUCCCUACGGGGGGCAGCAGUGAGGAAUAUUGGUCAAUGGGCGCGAGCCUGAACCAGCCAAGUCGCGUGAGGGAUGACGGCCCUACGGGUUGUAAACCUCUUUUGUCGGGGAGCAAAUUCCGUUACGUGUAACGGAGUCGAGAGUACCCGAAGAAAAAGCAUCGGCCAACUCCGUGCCAGCAGCCGCGGUAAUACGGAGGAUGCGAGCGUUAUCCGGCUUUAUUGGGUUUAAAGGGUGCGUAUGCGGACUGUCCAGUCAGCGGUAACAUACGGGGGCUCAACCUCCGCCCGCCGU
rnacentral:rRNA from 1 species